rnacentral:tRNA from 1 species
CGACCUGUCCGGCGACGCGCUUGCCGCGCCGGCCUCCGACGCCGCCGCCGACGAGGCGCCGCGCGUCGUCGCCGUGCCGCCCGCGCUGGCCGGC